UAGUUCGGAUUGUAGGCUGAAACUCGCCUACAUGAAGCUGGAAUUGCUAGUAAUCACAGGUCAGCAUACUGUGGUGAAUACGUUCCCGGGCCUUGUACACACCGCCCGUCACACCAUGAGAGUUGAGAAUACCCGAAGCCCAUGUCAAAGUGGUCGAAGGUAGGCUUGAUGAUUGGGGUGAAGUCGUAACAAGGUAUC
rnacentral:rRNA from 1 species